rnacentral:rRNA from 1 species
UACAGAGGGUGCGAGCGUUGUUCGGAAUUACUGGGCGUAAAGUGUGCGCAGGCGGCAGAGCAAGUCGAGUGUGAAAGCCCCGGGCUUAACUUGGGAAUUGCGCUCGAAACUACUUUGCUGGAGUGUGGCAGAGGAAGGUGGAAUUCCACGUGUAGCGGUGAAAUGCGUAGAGAUGUGGAGGAACACCAAUGGCGAAGGCAGCCUUCUGGGCCAACACUGACGCUCAUGCACGAAAGCGUGGGGAGCAAACAGG